GUUUAUCGGCUUUAAAGGGCUGAGCGAGACGAUUCUGCCGGAUUCCUGUGGAUUCGUCCAGUCCAUGGAAAUGAAACCCAAAUGCCUUUCAGCUUCUGAUGCUUCGUUACUCUCGAUUCUGGUGGUGGUUCCUACAGCAGCUUUCCAGAAGAAGUGCCAAAAGUCUGCAUAGAUGUUGCCAAGGCUGUGAACUCAAAACUUGUCUCACUGCUGUCGAGCUCGACUGGUAGGAGGAGGAGUUGUUGAAAACAGGUUAGAUUUAGGAUUCGUAUACUAGUCUUUAUCUCAUUACAAGUGAGAAGAGAUUUUGUUUAGCGAUGUGCGAAUGGUGUGGAUUCGAGUUAUAGUCUCACGUGAUCAUAGUUUAGGAGGGAAAGCUUUUGUGUUACGACGAUCUGUAGGUACUCUCCAUCUAUCGGCCUGCUUAAAAGGACCAUCGAAUGCUAAGGAUGUAUAUACCUGUGUUGGUCAUGCCACCAGCUUUGCCUUGUGCACAACAGCUUGAAGCUGAUGCCAGCGGAAGCUCCACUCCAACAACUUGUUGUUCAACAGGAGCUUGAAGAAUAUUAGCUUCAUCCGAGUCGUGAUUUCCCCGAAUCGGUGGCCGGGUUGCAAAGCUUCAUUCUCUGAGAUGAUGCAUCGUUGCAGAGAGCUUUCAUGAUUUAGGUAG